GGGCCGCGGAGUCGCGUGUCAGGGCUGGAGGGAGAUCUUGAGGUCCUCCCAGUGACUGACCUGGCUCAUUCUCCGAAAGUGGUUGACAGGCCACUACGAGAGCUCUUGAGAGAAGCUUUGUGACAUGAAAUUCAUCAAAUGAAGCAAGAUUCAUUUUUAAAGAAUAAUACAAAGCUCCAGAGUAAUAUGCUUAAUCCAAAUGUUUAAAUAGAAUUUAAAACCACAUUUUAAGUAAAUUUAAAAUUAAUGAAAUAUCAAUAGUUUGCCUUAACAAGGACUUGCUUGAACCAUAUUCUCCUUUUAAAAUCACACACACAGAAUCAGUGUACAUUUAGAGAAAUUUCCCCAGCUGAAUAACAUUUUUGACAUGAAUUCAUUCAAAAGACACCAACCAUUAUGAAUAUUUUAGGCCAUGAUAAGCUGUAACCACCUCCGGCUUAUGGUGGUUAGGAUGUUGCAGCUUAAUGUUGACAUCUGGCAUGAAAAGCUUAUGGUCUGAGUCAUGUUUCUUUUUUAUGUAAUUCUGGCUUGGGAAUCCGAUACAGAGCAGCUGAGAAAUAAAUUAUGUUGCUGAGGCUGAAGAUGAUGCACAGAAGUAUGGCUCCAGCUAUCUGAGAGAAAGAGAAGGGCUUGGAGGUGGCCAGGAGCCAUUCCUUCCUCAGAGUCUUGUCCAGAAGUAUGGCUUCCAUCUGCAUGUGCGUGGCCAGGAUCACACACACGUGAAACAGCUGGUGACUGUGACCUAUGGCAAACACAAAAGGCCGUCAAGAUCAGCAAUGAAAAGGAAUGAGUACUGAUACAUGCUAUGGCAUUCAUGCUAAAAAUGAUGCUAAGUGAAAGAAACCAGACAGGAGACCACAUAUUAUAUAAAAUCUCCAGAAUAUGCAAAUCCAUAAAGACAGAGAGUAGAUUAGAGGCUGCCUCAAGCAGGGGGUGAGAAUAGGUAUUAACAGUGCAUGGGUCUGAUGGAGGGGAUGAAAAUGUUCUAAAACUGAUGUAUGGUGAAUUUACUGAAAAUAUCAUUAAAUUGUAUACUUGACAUUAGAGAAUUAUUGAAUAUGUGAAAUAUACCUUAAUAAAUUUAUUUUUAAGAAGCAAUAUGGGAAAAAUAAAAGGCCCAUCAGAGAAAACCAAAUCCAAAUUCUUUUUUAAAACAACUUAUCCACCAGUCUCAUUUUUCAGAUGAAAAAAUUAGGCACCAAAGUUCAUCUCUUGAGAGCCAGCACUGAUCAGCUCAGAGUCUCACUUCAGUGCUGAGGGAGAAGCUGGCUGAAUUUUCUGUUGGCCACUAACCAAGUGGACCUCUCCCUACUGCCAGUUAGUCACAGAUAUGACCAGGACUCUUCCUCCCCAAUGCCAUGCUGGACCCAGCUCACAUGGUGCCCUUCACAGAGGCUGGGAGCCCAGUAGAGGGUAGUGGGAGUGACAGGGACAGGGACGUGCUGGGUGGUUGGUGAGAAAACAAAUCCAAUGCCUAGGGUCGGGGGCAGCUUUGGGGGACAACCCUCAGACCCCAGGAGUAAGGAGGCGACCACAUGUGUUAUGGGCUGAAUGAUGUCCCUGAAAAAUACAUGUGCUGAAGUCUUAAGCCCCAGAAUGAGACCAUAUUUGCAGAUAGGAUCUUUAGAGAAAUAAUUAAAUAAAAAUGAAGUCUCUAAGAUGGGCCUAAUCCACUAUGACUGGUGUCCUUAUAAGGAAAGGAGUUUAGGCCAGGCGCGGUGGUUCACGCCUGUAAUCCCAGCACUUUGGGAGGCUGAGGCGGGUGGAUCACGAGGUCAGGAGAUAGAGACCAUUUUGGCUAACAUGAUGAAACCCCGUCUCUACUAAAAAUACAAAAAUUAGCCGGGCAUGGUGACACGUGCCUGUAAUC
ensembl:lncRNA KIF23-AS1 KIF23 and PAQR5 antisense RNA 1